rnacentral:misc_RNA from 1 species
GAUGAAGAACGUAGCGAAAUGCGAUACGUAAUGUGAAUUGCAAAUUCAGUGAAUCAUCGAGUCUUUGAACGCACAUUACGCCCCCUGGUAUUCCGGGGGGCAUGCCUGUCCGAGCGUCAUUGCUGCCCUCAAGCACGGCUUGUGUGUUGGGCCCCGUCCUCCGAUCCCGGGGGACGGGCCCGAAAGGCAGCGGCGGCACCGCGUCCGGUCCUCGAGCGUAUGGGGCUUUGUCACCCGCUCUGUAGGCCCGGCCGGCGCUUGCCGAUCAACCCAAAUUUUUAUCCAGGUUGACCUCGGAUCAGGUAGGGAUACCCGCUGAACUUAAGCAUAUCAAUAAGCGGAGGA